rnacentral:lncRNA from 1 species
GGUCGGGUUGUUGUCUCUUUGACACAUUCCCCAUAUCCAUUCUCAAUUUUAUUAUUUAUAAAAUCAUUACAUUUUCUUUCCUCAGAAUGAUUAACAGCAAUGGAGACAGGAGCAGACAUGGGAAUGUUCGAUGUGAAAAUUGAAGACCUAUAAACAAAAUGAUGUAUCUAGACAAUAUGGCACUCAUCAGAAAAAAAAAAAAACCAACAUUUAAUCAUGAACCAUUGAAUCCUGAGUUUCGUACAAGUACCAAAACAUUAAAGGUGGAUGCUUAUAAUGAGCUCAUAUUAGAACUAAAGUGUCCUCUUGAAUUACCACUGUACAUGUAAAAAGACACAUCAUAUCCGGGACUGAAUUGAGGAAAAGAGCCAGGAAACUGACAUUCAACAAAGCAUUCCAAAGAAAAGAUGGCAUAGGGGGAGAGCAAUGAAACAUGAUACAUGCAAAAUUAAUUGUUUCUUUGAUUGUUUUAUUUAUGAGCUUUAAAGGGUCAUAAAAUAACCAAGGGGCAUGAAAAUGACAGAGAUUUUUGCCACAAACUUCACAUGUUGGUAUGACAUUGAAUGUUUUAUUAUAUAUUAAAAAAUGGUUAUGAUAAAUAAAAGAAAUUCCAGUUAUGAUUAAAAAUAAGGUAAUCGAGACAUUGUUUUGUGUUGAUUAUAAUGCAUUGCCUAACAUAGUAACAUAUGACUGCAUUAAUUACAACAUAUUUUAAGCAAUAGCAAAAUACCAAAAAAUGAACAGUAUUGAAGAUUCUAAUCUUGUUUGAUAUAUAUAUAAAUUAUGCGCUAUUAUACAAUUGAUACUGUAAAAUAUCAGCCUCGAACCACAGUGUGAAUCUCCCUGAUGUCGAGUGCGUAUUAUUUUUAUAAACACUGAAAGACAGUCACAAUCAAAAUCAAGAAGUAAGCAAAGAAUCACAAAACGAAAGGGCAUUUACAACAACACAUUGAAAAAUACAUAUAUAAAAACAACACGAACUCCAUUAAAAACCGGGAGUGAAUUCAGGUGCUCCUAAUGCGUAUUAUUUUUAUAAACACUGAAAGACAGUCACAACCAAAAUCAAGAAGUAAGCAAAGAAUCACAAAACAAAAGGGCAUUUACAACAACACUUUGAAAAAUACAUAAAAGACAACACGAACUCCAUUAAAAACCGGGAGUGAAUUCAGGUGCUCCUAAUGGGUAAAAUCCGAUAAACUGCUUAUCUUGCUUCAUUUCUGUUGUUUUCUCCUUCGCUUCAAUAGUAUUUCGAUAGACGAGAGUAAGCUUGAUAAUUUUCCUUGGUCAUGUUCACGUCGCUAAAAAAAAAUCUGCGCAGCAGGGUGAUAUAGUCAAAGAGAAAAACGUAACCAGCUAAAAAAGGAUAAUAAUAAUAUUGUCACAGAAUU